AUUGAACGCUGGCGGCAGGCCUAACACAUGCAAGUCGAACGGUAACAGGAAGUAGCUUGCUACUUUGCUGACGAGUGGCGGACGGGUGAGUACUGUCUGGGGAUCUGCCUGAUGGAGGGGGAUAACUACUGGAAACGGUAGCUAAUACCGCAUAAUGUCGCAAGACCAAAGCGGGGGACUUUCGGGCCUCGCACCAUCGGAUGAACCCAGAUGGGAUUAGCUGGUAGGUAGGGUAAUGGCUUACCUAGGCGACGAUCCCUAGCUGGUCUGAGAGGAUGACCAGCCAAACUGGAGCUGAGACACGGUCCAGAAUCCUAAGGGAGGCAGCAGUGGGGAAUAUUGCACAAUGGGCGCAAGCCUGAUGCAGCCAUGCCGCGUGUAUGAAGAAGGCCUUCGGGUUGUAAAGUACUUUCAGUCAGGAGGAAGGGUGUGAAAUUAAUACUUUCAUGCAUUGACGUUACUGACAGAAGAAGCACCGGCUAACUCCGUGCCAGCAGCCGCCGUAA
rnacentral:rRNA from 1 species